AUUGAACGCUGGCGGCAUGCCUUACACAUGCAAGUCGAACGGCAGCACGGGAGCAAUCCUGGUGGCGAGUGGCGAACGGGUGAGUAAUAUAUCGGAACGUGCCCAGUCGUGGGGAUAACGUAGCGAAAGCUACGCUAAUACCGCAUACGAUCUAUGGAUGAAAGCGGGGGAUCGCAAGACCUCGCGCGAUUGGAGCGGCCGAUAUCAGAUUAGGUAGUUGGUGAGGUAAAGGCUCACCAAGCCGACGAUCUGUAGCUGGUCUGAGAGGACGACCAGCCACACUGGAACUGAGACACGGUCCAGACUCCUACGGGAGGCAGCAGUGGGGAAUUUUUGGACAAUGGACGCAAGUCUGAUCCAGCCCAUUCCGCGUGCAGGAUGAAGGCCCUCGGGUUGUAAACUGC
rnacentral:rRNA from 1 species